rnacentral:tRNA from 7 species
GGGGUCAUAGCUCAAUUGGUAGAGCGCUUGCCUUGCACGCAAGAGGUUAGGAGUUCGAUCCUCCUUGAUUCCA